rnacentral:rRNA from 1 species
CUCGUAGGCGGGUUCGUCGCGUCCGGUGUGAAAGUCCAUCGCUUAACGGUGGAUCCGCGCCGGGUACGGGCGGGCUUGAGUGCGGUAGGGGAGACUGGAAUUCCCGGUGUAACGGUGGAAUGUGUAGAUAUCGGGAAGAACACCAAUGGCGAAGGCAGGUCUCUGGGCCGUCACUGACGCUGAGGAGCGAAAGCGUGGGGAGCGAACA